GUGAAUGUGGCUCAGUGGUAGAGUGCUUGCCUAGCAUGCAUGAGGCUGAGGGGUUCCAUUCCCAUCACCACA
rnacentral:tRNA from 1 species